GCACUUGUAGUUCAGUGGCAGAACUCAUGCCUUCCAUGAGAGAGACCUGGGUUCGAUUCCCAGCCAAUGCA
rnacentral:tRNA from 1 species